GAUGAACGCUGGCGGCGUGCCUAAUACAUGCAAGUCGAACGAUGAAGCCGGAGCUUGCUCUGGUGAAUUAGUGGCGAACGGGUGAGUAACACGUGAGUAACCUGCCCUUGACUCUGGGAUAACUGCCAGAAAUGGUAGCUAAUACCGGAUACGACCCUCGGAUGCAUCUCCCGGGGGUGGAAAGAAUGUCGGUCAAGGAUGGACUCGCGGCCUAUCAGCUAGUUGGUGAGGUAAUGGCUGACCAAGGCGACGACGGGUAGCCGGCCUGAGAGGGGGACGGGCAAAACUGGGAGUAGGACACGGCCCAAACUCCGACGGGAGGCAGCAGUGGGGAAGAUUGCACAAUGGGCGCAAGCAGGAUGCAGCAACGCCGCGUGAGGGAGGACGGCCUUCGGGUUGUAAACCUCUUUUAGUAGGGAAGAAGCGAAAGUGACGGUACCUGCAGAAAAAGCACCGGCUAACUACGUGCCAGCCGCCGCAGUAA
rnacentral:rRNA from 1 species